rnacentral:rRNA from 1 species
AGUGAACGCUGGCGGUGGGCCUAACACAUGCAAGUCGAACGGCAGCACAGUAAGAGCUUGCUCUUACGGGUGGCGAGUGGCGGACGGGUGAGGAAUACAUCGGAAUCUACUUUUUCGUGGGGGAUAACGUAGGGAAACUUACGCUAAUACCGCAUACGACCUACGGGUGAAAGCAGGGGAUCUUCGGACCUUGCGCGAUUGAAUGAGCCGAUGUCGGAUUAGCUAGUUGGCGGGGUAAAGGCCCACCAAGGCGACGAUCCGUAGCUGGUCUGAGAGGAUGAUCAGCCACACUGGAACUGGGACACGGUCCAGACUCCUACGGGAGGCAGCAGUGGGGAAUAUUGGACAAUGGGCGCAAGCCUGAUCCAGCCAUACCGCGUGGGUGAAGAAGGCCUUCGGGUUGUAAAGCCCUUUUGUUGGGAAAGAAAAGCAGCAGGUUAAUACCCCGCUGUUCUGACGGUACCCAAAGAAUAAGCACCGGCUAACUUCGUG